UUCGUUCAUAUCCAGACUGUGGAGAGUUCUGCAAACAUGUAUGUAACUGCUUGUCAGCCGCUUGUCACAAAACGGUCGGAUGUUUUCCAAAGAGCCCAGAUGGAGAGUGCAAUCCAGGAUAUUCUAGAGCCGAUUGCAUGGAGACGUAUGGUGUAAAAAUAUUGUGUAAACAAAUUUGCAACUGUUCUGAAGAAAAUGACAGCUAUUCCGGAAGAUGCCUUAUACCAAGUGACAAUUCUAACGAAACAAAGUCCACCAAUUCAAAAAUCAAUGAACGUUUCCAUCUCCGUGUUGGUGCAUAUGUCUUUGUGGGCAUUACGAUUUUUGUAAUAAUCUGCAUAAUGAUCGAAUUGCUUCAAUGUACAGGAAAACGUACCGAUGAGCAUAUGAUCUAAAUUGAGCCAAGGAUUCAGGAUAUAUAGACUCCCAAAGAUGUACGUAGAAUUAUUGGACUUCCUUAAUUUUUUUUUUUAAUUUACGUAAUAUGUUACCAGAUGUUGAAAGUAGCACAGACAGUAUUUGAUCGGAUGAGGAUAUUCUGUAAAGAAACGGUUUAGCUGUAAAAAUCUUAUUGGAAGAACGUCGAGGAAAGCCAUAGGCGCUUCAGAGUAGCUGAUCCUGUGAAAGCAGAAAGGACAAGAUAUGGUGACAGCCGAAUCUGGCCCCUUAUUUGAUGUAAAAAUCAGAACACUGGUAAAACUGUGAUAGUUUGUAGUUAAGAAGUAAAAAUGAUGCUUACUUUACAACAAGCACUAAUGUUGAUUCAAAGCCUACAAGGGAGCCACUAGAGGGUGCAGAAAUAGGGCAUUUUCCAGAAUUUCUUCAAUUC